UGCACUGCCGUCGGUGCUAGCAGGACC
rnacentral:piRNA from 1 species